GCUCCUCUACUGCCUUCGCCCGCCGCGCCCAACCCAACCCACCACCACCCCCACGCGCCCCCACGCGGUUGUGCUCCGCGCCGCGCUGAACCCUCCUCCCCCUCUGUCCUCGCCUGCUGCUUCAAACACCAGACCCGCAAACCGGGAGCCCCCCGUCACUCCCUCCCCCCCUCUUCCUCCGUCAGCCCCCCAGCCCGGCACUCCGCCAUGGGCAACCGCGGGUCGCGCUACCACCGCCACGCAGCCGACCAACAGAAGCCGGCGGCGGCGCCCAAGCCCCAGCCCCAUGCGCCGCCGCCGCCGCCGCCGCCGCAGCAGCAGCAGCAGCCGCAGGCGAGGCCCAAGCCGGCGGCCGCGCAGGCGGCGGCGGCGGCGGACGCGGGGGCGGUGGGGCGCGUGCUGGGGCGGCCGAUGGAGGACGUGCGCGCGGCCUACACCUUCGGGCGCGAGCUCGGCCGGGGCCAGUUCGGGGUCACCUACCUCGUCACGCACCGGGAGACCGGCCAGCGCUUCGCCUGCAAGUCCAUCGCCACGCGGAAGCUCGUCCACCGCGACGACAUCGAGGACGUGCGCCGGGAGGUGCAGAUCAUGCACCACCUCACGGGCCACCGCAACAUCGUCGAGCUCCGGGGCGCCUACGAGGACCGCCACUCGGUCAACCUCGUCAUGGAGCUCUGCGAGGGAGGGGAGCUCUUCGACCGCAUCAUCGCCAGGGGACACUACACCGAGCGCGCCGCCGCCGCGCUCUGCCGCGAGAUAGUCACCGUCGUCCUCAGCUGCCACUCCAUGGGGGUCUUCCACCGGGAUCUCAAGCCCGAGAACUUCCUCUUCCUCAACGACAAGGAGGACUCGCCGCUCAAGGCCACGGACUUCGGCCUCUCCGUCUUCUUCAAGCCCGGGGAGACUUUCAAGGAUCUUGUGGGAAGCGCAUAUUAUGUUGCUCCUGAGGUACUCAAACGGCACUAUGGGGCAGAGGCUGAUAUUUGGAGUGCUGGAGUUAUUCUUUACAUCCUUCUUUCCGGUGUUCCUCCCUUUUGGGCAGAUAAUGAGGAUGGCAUAUUUGAUGCCGUCUUGCGUGGUCACAUUGAUUUCUCUUCUGAUCCUUGGCCUUCCAUAUCUAAUGGUGCCAAGGAUUUGGUUAAGAAGAUGCUGCAGCAAGACCCAAAAGAGCGCCUGACUGCUGCUGAAAUUUUGAAUCAUCCAUGGAUUAGAGAGGAUGGAGAGGCCCCAGAUAAGCCACUUGACAUUACAGUCAUCAGUAGAAUGAAACAGUUCAGGGCAAUGAACAAGCUCAAGAAAGUUGCUUUGAAGGUUGUUGCUGAGAACUUAUCAGAUGAAGAGAUUAUGGGCCUUAAAGAAAUGUUUAGAUCUCUUGAUACAGAUAACAGUGGGACAAUUACUCUUGAAGAGCUAAGAUCUGGUUUACCAAAACUUGGCACUAAAAUUUCUGAAUCAGAAAUCAGACAGUUGAUGGAGGCGGCUGAUGUUGAUGGAAAUGGUACCAUUGAUUAUGCGGAGUUCAUAUCAGCCACUAUGCACUUGAAUAGAUUGGAGAAGGAAGACCACAUACUCAAAGCUUUUGAAUAUUUUGAUAAGGACCACAGCGGAUACAUAACAGUAGAUGAGUUGGAAGAAGCUCUGAAGAAGUAUGAUAUGGGAGAUGAUAAAACAAUAAAAGAGAUCAUUGCUGAAGUAGAUACAGAUCACGAUGGAAGAAUUAAUUACCAGGAGUUUGUUGCCAUGAUGAGGAACAACAGCCCUGAGAUUGUUCCGAACCGGAGGCGCAUGUUCUAACUGCCGUGUACAAUUUGAGUGGACACUUUUGGGGAUAUUUUGCCUUAGACAUCUUCUCCUGGAGCCAUUUUCUUUUGGGGAAAGCCAUUAAGAGAACUACAUUUGAGAUCCAUAUCUCUGCAGCCAGGACCAGUUUGUACCAGAAUGGGACGCAUGAUAUUGGGACUCAAACCUAGAUGCUAUGGAGUCUGGGUGCAGUGUUUCAACUCACUGUACGCAUAAUGCCUUUGAGAUUGUUUUGCGGCUUUAUCUGUAUCUUUCCCCACCUUCAAUUUAGUGUGCCCCAAUGAGGUGAUCAGUUAAAUUGCACAAUUGAGAGUGUUGUGACUUGUGAUCCAUGUGCUGUUAUCCUCUUAGCCUUUAUAUUAGAACCGGCAUUGUAAGAGGGUGUUUAGUGAUCUUAUCUGGCAAUGUUGUAUCAUUGUUAAUAAACACAGCACACAAAUUUGGUCCUGGAUUGGCCUUAGGUUAAGUGCUGAUCCAUCUGCGUUCUUCAGGAAACAAGGUUGCAGGUUCUUAUUUUGGUGAAGAUGCACCACCCAAAGAAUCAUAUGUUCACCCAA